CUGUGCAGGCUGUACCCCGAGAGAUGAGUUUUCAGCGGGUCUGGGUUAGGGCCCAGGCGGUUCAGGACCAUCAUCCUCCAUAGCCAUAGCAGGCACCAAC
rnacentral:sRNA from 1 species